CAGCCGCCACGGGAAUACAGAGGGUGCGAGCGUUAAUCGGAAUUACUGGGCGUAAAGCGCGCGUAGACGGUUUGGUAAGUCAGAUGUGAAAUCCCUGGGCUCAACCUGGGAACUGCAUUUGAUACUGCCUGGCUAGAGUAUCGAAGAGGGAAGUGGAAUUUCCGGUGUAGCAGUGAAAUGCGUAGAGAUGUGGAGGAAUACCGAUGGCGAAGGCAGCCCCCUGGGCCAAUACUGACGCUCAUGCACGAAAGCGUGGGGAGCAAACAGGAUUAGAUACCCCUGUAGUCCCUGUCUCUUAUAC
rnacentral:rRNA from 1 species